GGCGAUUGGGCGUUUGAUCCUGGCUCAGAGCGAACGCUGGCGGCAGGCCUAACACAUGCAAGUCGAGCGGAUGUAGCAAUACAUCAGCGGCAGACGGGUGAGUAACACGUGGGAACCUUCCCUAUAGUACGGAAUAGCCCAGGGAAACUUGGAGUAAUACCGUAUACGCCCGAAAGGGGAAAGAUUUAUCGCUAUAGGAUGGGCCCGCGUAGGAUUAGCUAGUUGGUGAGGUAAUGGCUCACCAAGGCGACGAUCCUUAGCUGGUUUGAGAGAACGACCAGCCACACUGGGACUGAGACACGGCCCAGACUCCUACGGGAGGCAGCAGUGGGGAAUAUUGGACAAUGGGCGCAAGCCUGAUCCAGCCAUGCCGCGUGAGUGAUGAAGGCCUUAGGGUUGUAAAGCUCUUUUGCCGGGGACGAUAAUGACGGUACCCGGAGAAUAAGUCCCGGCUAACUUCGUGCCAGCAGCCGCGGUAAUAG
rnacentral:rRNA from 1 species